GGGGUUUAGAGCAGUGAGGGGCAACCAAUACUAAUUGGCAAGUGUGAAACGGGUGUCUGAAUAAUCUGAUCUCUGUGUCCUCUCUAGGAAAGACAGGCAGCAACCCCAUAACAGGGACAAGGAAACUCCCACAUUCACAUGAAAUACAAGAAGCUUAUUGCCUGGCUUGACAUACAGCUCAUAUGAUGGAUGUGUUCACUUUGAUGAAUAACAUCUGGAUGGAUGUGUGUAUGGGGCUGCUGAAUCACGGCCUGAACCUCUGAUUAAUCACCUGAGGCAAGCAAUGAGUCAGCCACGGGAGCACAGGUGAAGGCAAUUCACCUGUGCUGCUGGAAGGGGUGGAGCUUGGAUCCAUUAAGAGCUGACUGCCAGUGGGGAAGGAUCUCAUCUGGAGAUCCACCCUACUGGAGUUUCCCUUGCGAGCCCAGGUUAGAGGUGAGUAUACCUAUCAUUUCUGUUUCCUGCUUUGGUGUAAUAACAUCAUAGCCAAGCUCUCUGUUAUACCUUAACAUCUGUAUAUUUGUUAACUGUACACUGCUAUACCAUAACAUCAGCAUAUUCAUUAAUUGUACAGGUGUGUCAUUACAAGAGGACAUGCAUCAAACAACUCGUGUCUGGUCUUUGGUUCCUUUGUUACCCAACAGUGGAGGGAAAGAAAGUAGAACGUUCUGCCUUCUCUCAGUACAGAAGUAGGCACUUAAAAUGGGCUAAUCAGUGGAAUUGUAUCCUUGUAGUCAAGUAAACAUUGAGAAAGGAAUUCAGGAAAAAUUUCUGUGGGGAAAAAUAAAAACAAUACAUCUGGAUGAUAGUAAAAAGGGACAUGAAGUCAAACUUCUAGAACAGUAAAAAGACACGACUUGGCAGGAGCUAGUAAAUAACAAAAACUUCCAGGAAAAAAAAAAGUGGUUUAAAUUACUCAGUAUACGUAUAAUAAAUAACACCUGCUUCUUGACAAUGAAUACAGCAGAUAAGAAUGAUGAACUGUUGGGGGAAAAACAUACCAGAAUUCCUUCAGGACAUAAUUUCAUCUUCAAGACACUUUCAAACAGGGGCAGUGAAGAAGAACAAGCAGGAAGGUUGCGAAAAGCUGGAGAGUGCUGCAGAUAGGGACUCACAACAACUUUGUGAUCCAUUCACAAGACCACUGCUGAAAGUCCUCUGUUUCCUCUCACACCUCUUUUGUCUGCUGCAAUGUUUGUUUUUUUUUUUUCCCCUGUAUGUGAUUUACUUUUUUUUCUAUGUUUACAAAAAAGAACCAGAUUUGCUCCUCAGGGUCUCCAGUUCCCUUCUACACCUUCCCAGCUCUCACUCCUCAUCUUUGUUUCCACCCACCUCCUCUGCAGGGUGUGAGUUCCCUUCCUAGGGUGAAGUUAAUCUUAUUUCUGCCUGUUUUCCCCUCCUUCUGAAUGAGCUUUUCCCUUUGAAGUGGUAGGAUCCCCA
rnacentral:lncRNA from 1 species